rnacentral:lncRNA from 1 species
UGCAUUUUUCAGUUAUCAAUCUAGCUGGUAAGCUAUGGUCAUUGGCCUUUGCAGAUGGGAAACUAUUUGCAAGCCCUUUAUUUUUGUUGAAAGCAGCAAAGAAGUAAACAAAUUGGAAAAAAAAAAAAGCCUUUUCCUGAUGGGAAGGGUCAGAAUAUUUCCAUUUAUGAAGAUACUUUGUCGUCAUUUGACUGGAUUUCAGGCACUGGUUGCCAGCAGGUUCCUGAUUCUCACUCACAACUUAUUCCUGCUCCCAGACAUCACCCCUUCAGAUCAUAUUUCCACUUAGUCCAGUGAUUUAAAAUAAAUGUGUAUCAGAAAAUGGCUCUCCUGCUUAAAGGGCUGCUUACAAAUAUUAACUGCUAGGACUAUAUGAUCUGGUCCUGCAUACUCACCCUGUUCUACACCUACUUCAUUUACUAUACACAAUAAUCUUCAUUCUGAACUUCAAAUUUGCCAACUUUGAUCACAUCAAGCUCUUGUACAAGCUUUUCUCUCAUUUGGGAAUGGAAUAAAUAUCUUCAAAAAAAAACAAAUUUAAGCUCAAAAUUCUGGUUUAAAGGAAAACAAUGCUGAUCAUUCUAUAUACAGUCGAGUCUACACUAUAUAGAGAGCUAAUGAGAACAAGAGCCUGAUCAUGGGGCUAUAUCUUGCUAUAUAUCCUGCUGUAUCCACAGGGUUGAGUGCAGUGACUGCCAUUGUAGGUGCUCAAUCCUUAUUUACUGACUGAAUAAAUGAAGAAAUGAUUGAAUAAAUACAUAUCUAACUGAGAAUACUUGAUACUUAGAAACUGAGACAAGAAGGCAACUAAGGGUACUGAAGACAAUCUCUGCUAUUUUCCUCCAGUUUUGGUUUUCCAGCUUUAACCAGUUGUUAACCUUGCAGAAUAUCUCCUCCUCAAGCAUUCAUCAACUCUCUGGCAACCUGGUCACACUAUAAGCUUUGCCCCUCUAAACUGGUUGCUAGUAGCAGAAUAUUCCAUAACUCUCUUAUAUUUAUCUCCCUUAAUUCCACAUUAUUCCUGAGAAAAGUAGAAAUAUAUGUCAUCAGGAAGCAUUCUCUCUCUUUUUUUAAGAUUUUUAUUUAUUUACUCAUGAGAGACAGAGAGAGAGAGAGAGAGAGAGAGAGGCAGAGACACAGGCAGAGAGAGAAGCAGGCUCCAUGCAGGGAGCCUGAUGUGGGACUUGAUCCCGGGACUCCAGGACCAUGCCCUGGGCCUAAGGCAGGCGCCCAACCGCUGAGCCACCCAGGCAUCCCAGGAAGCAUUCUCUUUUAGUUUAAUUCAAAUAACAUCUGCAUA